AACGAACGCUGGCGGCAGGCCUAACACAUGCAAGUCGAACGAAGUCUUCGGACUUAGUGGCGCACGGGUGAGUAACACGUGGGAAUAUACCUUACGCUGGGGGAUAACAUCGGGAAACUGAUGCUAAUACCGCAUACGCCCUUCGGGGGAAAGAUUUAUCGGCGAAAGAUUAGCCCGCGUCCGAUUAGCUAGUUGGUGAGGUAAUGGCUCACCAAGGCUCCGAUCGGUAGCUGGUCUGAGAGGAUGACCAGCCACACUGGGACUGAGACACGGCCCAGACUCCUACGGGAGGCAGCAGUGGGGAAUAUUGGACAAUGGGCGCAAGCCUGAUACAGCCAUGCCGCGUGAGUGAUGAAGGCCUUAGGGUUGUAAAGCUCUUUCACCCACGACGAUGAUGACGGUAGUGGGAGAAGAAGCCCCGGCUAACUUCGUG
rnacentral:rRNA from 1 species